AUUGAACGCUGGCGGCAUGCUUUACACAUGCAAGUCGAACGGUAACAGGCCGCAAGGUGCUGACGAGUGGCGAACGGGUGAGUAAUGCAUCGGAACGUGCCCAGUCGUGGGGGAUAACGCAGCGAAAGCUGCGCUAAUACCGCAUACGAUCUAUGGAUGAAAGCGGGGGACCGUAAGGCCUCGCGCGAUUGGAGCGGCCGAUGUCAGAUUAGGUAGUUGGUGGGGUAAAGGCUCACCAAGCCAACGAUCUGUAGCUGGUCUGAGAGGACGACGAGCAACGCUGGGACUGAGACACGGCCCAGACUCCUACGAGAGGCAGCAGUGGGGAAUGUUGGACAAUGGGCGCAAGCCUGAUCCAGCAAUGCCGCGUGCAGGAAGAAGGCCUUCGGGUUGUAAGCUGCUUUUGUACGGAACGAAACGGCUCUGGUUAAUACCUGGGGCUAAUGACGGUACCGUAAGAAUAAGCACCGGCUAACUACGUGCCAGCCGCCGCCGUAA
rnacentral:rRNA from 1 species